ACUGCAUCUAAAAUGAGAUACAGUUAAGCUGAUACUUUCUUCCCAAUGAUUAUAAUGGAUCGUAAAUUUCCCGUUAAUUAACGACAUUCUACAAAUAAGGGGAAGUACAGUAGUCAAGUAAACAUGAAUAUUCAUAAUUAAUCCAGAUAGCGAGUGUUUGUUCGGAUAUUAAACUAUUCGGAUAUACUUCGAUAAUAAGAAGCUAUUGAGUAGUGACCAGAAAGAUUAUAUGUACAGACAUGCAGCUCCAUCAGGCUAUCUGACAUAUGCAUAGAUAAGUGACCACGGUAAUGAUGCAGCCAUAGAACGACUUGCACGUAAGU
rnacentral:lncRNA from 1 species